rnacentral:lncRNA from 1 species
GUGCGAGAUUGAGUGGGUCAAAAUACAACUGAAAGACCAAAAAGAAUUAACAAUAGGCUCAUUCUAUAUGCCACAUAGAAACAUGCAGGAUAUAAAAGAACUUGAUAAAUCACUAGACCAGAUCUCCAAUAAAAACACUAACUUCAUACUUACUGGAGACUUCAACUGUCCAGAUAUUGAUUGGAACACAAUGUCAAUAAACCCAAACGCACAAGAUAAAGAAAUACAAAAAGCCCUUAUGGAAGUCCUAAUGUCACACUCUAUCACUCAGAUCCAUGAAACACCAACUAGAGGUGAAAAUCUACUGGACAUAGUGUUAACCACCAACCCAUCACUCAUCAAAACAUCAACAAAUGCUCCAGGAAUAUCUGACCAUGACAUGAUCAUAACAGACUGUGAUACAAAACCACACUACCAGAGUAAACGGCCACGUAAAUGCUACAUUUACUCGAAAGCAAAAUGGGAAGAUCUCCAUGAAGAACUGGAUACAUUAUCCAACAAAAUCAGGGAUAUGAACCAAAACAACGCCACAGUACAAGAAUUAUGGGACACAUUUAAAUACGAACUCUACGUUAAUUUGGACAAGAACAUACCAUCAAAACUCAUCCGCUCUAAAACAAGCUUACCCUGGAUAAAUCACAAAAUUAGGAAAAUGUUCAAAAAAAAAACCAGGCUAUACCAACAAGCAAAGAGAACAAAGAACUGGUCAAACUACAGGCACUUUCAAAAAGAAUGCAAAAGACAAGUCCGAAAGGCUGAAUGGGAAUACAUCAACAACACCAUAAUGGAGGGACUAGAAAACAACAAUCCAAAACCUUUUUGGAAAUACAUAAAAUCUAGGAAACAAGACAACAUUGGAGUAUCACCUUUGAAAAGCAAUGGCCAAUUAGUGAAUGAUAGUAAAGGAAGGCAGAACUACUGAUACAACAAUUCAAAUCAGUGUUCACAAGGGACAACGACAAAACACUGCCGAAAACAACAAAGCACAUAAAGAACUCAAUCCCAUUCCUCGAAAUAAAACAUGAAGGAGUCGAAAAACUACUCAGGCAACUGAAUCCAUCAAAAGCUUCAGGACCAGACGGUAUACCUAAUAGAAUCCUCAAAGAGUGCUCAAAACAACUUGCACCAGGACUCUCAAUAAUAUACCAAAAGUCAAUAAAUACUGGAGAACUGCCAAGAGACUGGUUAAACGCUAACAUCUCGAGCGUCUUUAAAAAAGGAGACAAACAUGCACCAGAAAAUUAUAGACCGGUAUCACUAACAUCUGUGCCGUGUAAAAUACUUGAACAUAUCAUCUGUAAGCACAUACUAAACCAUUUAGACAAGCACAGGGUACUAACAUCACUCAACCAUGGAUUCAGAUCCGGAUACUCGUGUGAAACACAGCUACUAGUCACAUUGCACGACUUCAUGAAAUCACACGAUGCUGGUAACCAAAUUGAUGUUGCUAUCCUGGAUUUUUCAAAAGCAUUUGACACAGUGCCAC